rnacentral:rRNA from 1 species
UACGGAGGGUGCAAGCGUUAUCCGGAUUUACUGGGUUUAAAGGGCGUGUAGGCGGGUUUUUAAGUCCGUGGUGAAAUCUCCGAGCUUAACUUGGAAACUGCCAUUGAUACUAUUGAUCUUGAAUUUUGUUGAGGUAGGCGGAAUAAGUCAUGUAGCGGUGAAAUGCAUAGAUAUGACUUAGAACACCAAUUGCGAAGGCAGCUUGCUAAACAAAUAUUGACGCUGAGGCACGAAAGCGUGGGGAUCAAACAGG